rnacentral:rRNA from 1 species
UACGAAGGGGGCUAGCGUUGUUCGGAAUUACUGGGCGUAAAGCGCGCGCAGGCGGCUAUCCAAGUCAGUGGUGAAAGCCCGGAGCUCAACUCCGGAACUGCCAUUGAAACUGUUUAGCUUGAGGAUGAGAGAGGUGAGUGGAAUUCCCAGUGUAGAGGUGAAAUUCGUAGAUAUUGGGAAGAACACCGGUAGCGAAGGCGGCUCACUGGCUCAUUACUGACGCUCAGGCGCGAUAGCGUGGGGAUCAAACAGG